GGCGAGGUAGCUUAGUUGGCUAGAGCAAUCGGUUCAUACCCGGUAGGUCGUGGGUUCGACUCCCACCCUCGCUACCA
rnacentral:tRNA from 1 species